AGCGGCGGACGGGUGAGUAACGCGUGGGUAACCUGCCUCAUACAGGGGGAUAACAGUUGGAAACGGCUGCUAAUACCGCAUAAGCGCACAGUACCGCAUGGUACGGUGUGAAAAACUCCGGUGGUAUGAGAUGGACCCGCGUCUGAUUAGCUAGUUGGUGGGGUAACGGCCUACCAAGGCGACGAUCAGUAGCCGGUCUGAGAGGAUGAACGGCCACAUUGGGACUGAGACACGGCCCAGACUCCUACGGGAGGCAGCAUG
rnacentral:rRNA from 1 species